CCAAUAGCGUAUAUUAAAGUUGUUGUGGUUAAAAAGCUCGUAGUUGAACCUUGGGCCUGGCUGGCCGGUCCGCCUCACCGCGUGUACUGGUCCGGCCGGGCCUUUCCCUCUGUGGAACCUCAUGCCCUUCACUGGGUGUGACGGGGAAGCAGGACUUUUACUGUGAAAAAAUUAGAGUGCUCCAAGCAGGCCUAUGCUCGAAUACAUUAGCAUGGAAUAAUAAAAUAGGACGUGCGGUUCUAUUUUGUUGGUUUCUAGGACCGCCGUAAUGAUUAAUAGGGACAGUCGGGGGCAUCAGUAUUCAAUUGUCAGAGGUGAAAUUCUUGGAUUUAUUGAAGACUAACUACUGCGAAAGCAUUUGCCAAGGAUGUUUUCAUUAAUCAAGAACGAAAGUUAGGGGAUCGAAGACGAUCAGAUACCGUCGUAGUCUUAACCAUAAACUAUGCCGACUAGGGAUCGGACGAAGUUAAUUUUAUAAUGACGCGUUCGGCACCUUACA
rnacentral:misc_RNA from 1 species